AGAGCUGCUCUGUAUAGCAGGCGAAUGGAGACCCCAGUGACCAACAGGAGAGCACCCUCCCAGUCCCACGAGACCUCAGCGCUCAGAGGAGCCCAGUGAGAGCACUCCUCCAGGCAGUUUGAAUCUCUCAGGUUGUCAAAGAAAAGGAUUUGCACUCAGACCCCUCACAUUAUCCCUAAAUUUAUCCUUCCCUCUUUCCCCUCGCCUCAGGGAGAGCUCUGAAAAACUUAAGGAGCGCUAUAGCCAAGACGAGUCCUUGAGCAGAGAACUGAUGACCAAGGUUAACAAGCAGAGGGAUCUUUUCUGCCCAUGGGCAGGUGGGGUGCCAUUUUUGGGCAGGAGGCCUUGGUCAUGGGACACAGUGGUGUUGGCUGGGCUGUUCCAGGACGAGUUGCUGAGCUGGCGCCAUCAGCAGGGAAAUGGAGGUAUGGUGAUUGUGUGGUGCAAGCCUCACAGGG